rnacentral:rRNA from 1 species
CGGUGUUUAACUGGCGUGAUGUGGGACGUCCUACCGGUGGGCUUAGCCUCGCGAGGGGCGGCCCAACUAAUAUCCCGUCGCGGUGCUCUUUACUGAGUGUCGAGUCGGGCCGGUACGUUUACUUUGAACAAAUUAGAGUGCUUAAAGCAGGCUAUCCUCGCCUGAAUACUGCGUGCAUGGAAUAAUGGAAUAGGACCUCGGUUCUAUUUUGUUGGUUUUCGGAACCCCGAGGUAAUGAUUAAUAGGGACAGAUGGGGGCAUUCGUAUUGCGACGUUAGAGGUGAAAUUCUUGGAUCGUCGCAAGACGGACAGAAGCGAAAGCAUUUGCCAAAAAUGUUUUCAUUAAUCAAGAACGAAAGUUAGAGGUUCGAAGGCGAUCAGAUACCGCCCUAGUUCUAACCAUAAACGAUGCCAGCUAGCGAUCCGCCGAAGUUCCUCCGAUGACUCGGCGGGCAGCUUCCGGGAAACCAAAGCUUUUGGGUUCCGGGGGGAAGUAUGGUUGCAAAGCUGAAACUUAAAGGAAUUGACGGAAGGGCACCCCCCGGAGUGGAGCCUGCGGCUUAAUUUGACUCAACACGGGAAACCUCACCAGGCCCAGACACCGGAAGGAUUGACAGAUUGAUAGCUCUUUCUUGAUUCGGUGGGUGGUGGUGCAUGGGCCGUUCUUAGUUGGUGGAGCGAUUUGUCUGGUUAAUUCCGAUAACGAACGAGACUCUAGCCUGCUAAAUAGGCGUACCUUAUGGUAUCGCGAAGGCCCCCGGCUUCGGCCGGUGGGUUUUUACUACCAACGUACAAACAAAUCUUUUUAGAGGGACAGGCGG